rnacentral:rRNA from 1 species
GAUGAACGCUAGCGGGAGGCUUAACACAUGCAAGUCGAGGGGCAUCACGAGGUAGCAAUACUUUGGUGGCGACCGGCGCACGGGUGAGUAACACGUAUGCAACCUUCCCUGUACAGGGGGAUAACCCGGAGAAAUUCGGACUAAUACCCCAUGAUGAUAUUAUGGGGCAUCCUUUAAUAUUUAAAGCUCUGGCGGUACAGGAUGGGCAUGCGCGACAUUAGCUAGUUGGUAAGGUAACGGCUUACCAAGGCGACGAUGUUUAGGGGUCCUGAGAGGGUGGUCCCCCACACUGGUACUGAGACACGGACCAGACUCCUACGGGAGGCAGCAGUGAGGAAUAUUGGUCAAUGGGCGCAAGCCUGAACCAGCCAUCCCGCGUGCAGGAAGACGGCCCUAUGGGUUGUAAACUGCUUUUCCAGGGAGAGAAACUUACGCACGUGUUGCGUGACUGACGGUACCCUGGGAAUAAGCAUCGGCUAACUCCGUGCCAGCAGCCGCGGUAAU